rnacentral:rRNA from 1 species
AUUGAACGCUGGCGGCAUGCCUUACACAUGCAAGUCGAACGGUAACGGGCCUUCGGGUGCCGACGAGUGGCGAACGGGUGCGUAAUACAUCGGAACGUGCCCGAUCGUAGGGGAUAACGAGGCGAAAGCUUUGCUAAUACCGCAUACGAUCUACGGAUGAAAGCAGGGGACCGCAAGGCCUUGCGCGGACGGAGCGGCCGAUGGCAGAUUAGGUAGUUGGUGGGAUAAAAGCUUACCAAGCCGACGAUCUGUAGCUGGUCUGAGAGGAUGAUCAGCCACACUGGGACUGAGACACGGCCCAGACUCCUACGGGAGGCAGCAGUGGGGAAUUUUGGACAAUGGGCGCAAGCCUGAUCCAGCCAUGCCGCGUGCAGGAUGAAGGCCUUCGGGUUGUAAACUGCUUUUGUACGGAACGAAAAGCCUUCUUUUAAUACAGGAGGGUCAUGACGGUACCGUAAGAAUAAGCACCGGCUAACUACGUG